UAAAGACAUUAGUAAAUUAUAUUUACAUUCCAUUGCUGAAAAUGCAAUGCCCCUUAGGCUUGCCAGGGUCUUUCUCUUAACAGAACUGAUCAUCAUACAUUACAGACUGAAUCAGCAUGUCACAACCGGGCAUUGCAGUACAUGGCAUUUCAAAAUCAUACAUUUCAGUUGCAUAGUCAUAUAUGUUAUUGACAAACAUAAGUACUUAAAACUGUGGCUCCAUUAUGC